UGGGGAAUAUUGCACAAUGGAGGGAACUCUGAUGCAGCGACGCCGCGUGAACGAAGAAGGCUUUCGAGUCGUAAAGUUCUUUUAUAUGGGAAGAUAAUGACGGUACCAUAAGAAAAAGCCCCGGCUAACUACGUGCCAGCAGCCGCGGUAAUACGUAGGGGGCUAGCGUUGUCCGGAAUCACUGGGCGUAAAGGGUUCGCAGGCGGAAAUGCAAGUCAGGUGUAAAAGGCAGUAGCUUAACUACUGUAAGCAUUUGAAACUGCAUAUCUUGAGAAGAGUAGAGGUAAGUGGAAUUUUUAGUGUAGCGGUGAAAUGCGUAGAUAUUAAAAAGAAUACCGGUGGCGAAUGCGACUUACUGGGCUCAUUCUGACGCUGAGGAACGAAAGCGUGGGUAGCAAACAGG
rnacentral:rRNA from 3 species